ensembl:miRNA
GCUCGGUUGCCGUGGUUGCGGGCCCGGCCCGCCCGCCAGCUCGCUGACAGCACGACUCAGGGCGGAGGGAAGUAGGUCCCUUGGUCGGUCGGGAACGAGG